rnacentral:lncRNA from 1 species
GCCUCGGCCUCCCAAAGUGCUGGGAUUAGAGGCGUGAGCCACUGCGCCCAGCCUUAAGUUCUUUAUUUUCUAUCUUGUGGACCAAAGGACUGCUACAGGCAAGGAAGACCAUCUGACUCAAUUCCAGAGGUUCCUUAGCAUGCUGCUGACUGGCCUAGGAGAAUGGCCUUUGCCCAUAAAGUAUUAGAUGUAGACCACAUGAAUGGAAUAUUCACCAGGUUUCUGCCCAGGUCUGGAUUGGGCAAGGACAUGGCUGGAGGUGCCUUACAGGAGAGAAGGCCAAAGAGAGAGAAGACUUGACUCCCAACCUGAUUCCAGCAGAACUCCACUUUGAUGUGUUUUUAAAAUUGUGCUCUUCUGUUUGCUUUCACGGAGGCUGCCAUGAAACGUCAUCUUUGACUAGAAUUAUCAGGAAAUGCUCAUGGAAGAAAUAUACUUCCUUGGAUUUUUUUUCCUACCACACUUCAGGAUAUAACUAGAGAAAACAUUUGCCAACAGUGCUUAUCAUAUUAGUACCCUGUGAAGGUUUUCAUAGAUGCUGAUUAUUAUUUUUAAAAUCAUUUCGGGAAUAGGAGCCAAACACUAGGUCAUGACUGUACUUACUUUAGUAUUUACAUUAAGUGAUGAAAAAUGGAAAUAAAGGAAAUGUCCUGUCAUGAAACAAGUUAGAAUUAGGUGACUUUCAUGUCCUGAUUUCCAAGGUUUUCUGUUUGUUUCAGACAGACAAGAUCAUCCAUGGGUUCUUGGACAAGUAAUAGGUCUCAUUUUCCCUUGUAGACCAGAAGACAUGGAAAAGACAGCAUAUUCGGACUAUAUUCAUAUUUCCAUACCAUCUUUUGUUGUAAUUGAUUUUCAACAAGAGCCCCUAACAAUCUCUUGAGUUUGGGCCAUCCCCAUAUUCUACAAGGGAAAAUGAGAUCUCUUACUACUCCAAUAACCCAUGCUUACACUAUCUGUAUGGAACAAACAGAGAACCAUCAAAAUCUGAACGCAGAAGUCACUUAUUUAGUCCCAAUCUAUUUUGUGAAAGAAAAUUUCUUUUACUCAAAGAGAUGAAGAAAUUUACGGAAUGGCUUGGGAAUGAGAAGAUUCAGGUGGGACCAUGGAAGCAAAGCUUGUUCUUUUGUGGAUGCACACCUGGGGAGUACAUCUGUGCAUUUAUCCUCUGUUCACAGCUGAGGCAACUGAGACUGAAACAGGCAAAGUGGUUUGUCCAAGAGCAAAGCCAGGGGCAGGGAAGUUUGAAAGAAAGAAAAAUAUGCCAAGAUGAUUAAGUUUCACCUAAGAUUUUAAAGCUCCCACCUAAAAGAUGUGGAAAACAAGCACUAUACCAGGAUAUUGUACCUUAUUUCUGCCCUGUCUUAAAAACACCAUGACAUUUUCCUUGAUUUCAAGAAUACAGAAAAUGAACAUGGUCCUUUAAAUUAUGUGACUCUUUCGAAGCAAAAUGACAACAAGGAAAAACCACAUUUGUUUUCUGCCUCCCUUUUUCAAGAAGCUGAAAAUAUAGUGUAAAUGAACUCUUGGUCGUGGGUCAACAUCCUUACAAUACCUGCCCCUCGUUCUCAGGUUAGAGAUUUCUCCUCUGCCUUUUCAUUCUCACCCACACCCAACUUGAAAUAGGUCUCCAGGUCCCAUUUUGAUCACAUAUUCUUUCAGUCACAUGCGGAACAUGAGAAGGGGUUAAAUGUAGCUCUGCAAGACCAGCAAAACUCAUCACUAAACUGGAAAACAACUUCAGGCUUACUAUCAACAGGGGGUAGUUAGCAUCAGUUUAAAGACUGUGAAUGUGCACAAAUGUUUUCUAAGAAUAUUUUUCAGAAGAGUGUAAUUAUAGGUAUAAUCUCUAAUUGCAUUAUAAAUGAUAAAUAAGAGACGGUUAGCAAACUAUAUUUCAGGGCUGUUUGCUGUACUUAUCUGCUGCCAUCACUGGCCCUGUCUUCCUUUGUGACUGCAGACUGUGUUGUUUAUUAGUCUUGGUGGUAAGGGGGAAUUGCUGUACAGUACUUUUGUGUUAGGACAGGAUCUUACAGAUGAUAAUGAAGGUUGCAGGAAGGACUGUUGAAACGUUUUAUUUUGGUAUUUGUUUCAUUUUUAAAGGCUGUGACUAGGACUUCAUACCUGUCUAAUAAGCAUGCAUGUAACAUUUUUAUAUUUGCUGAGUGCUUCAUAGUCCUCCAUUAGUCCCCACAAUACCCCUUGAGGGUAGGUCAGUAUUACAGUUUACAAUAUGAGGAAAUUUAAGAUACAAAGGGAUUAUGUGAUUUGUACAAGGUCACCCAGCAUGCAAGCCUAGCUAAUAAAAUAUGACUACAAAGCUCUUUCCAAAUAAAAAGUACCUUAUAAAUGUUAGGUAGUAUUAAUGGGUAUGAUCCCAGAAUGAGUAAAAUACUCUUCAGGAGUAAAGUGCUCAUACAUGGUAUAUAAUAUUAAUUCUCUCUCUUUUUUUUUUUUUUUUUUUAACCUGUGGGUGACUUUUGAAAUAGUUAUUCUUGAACCUGGCUAUGCAUCAGAAAUGUCUCUAGAGUUUUUAGAACAUGUGAGCACAUAGACCCCUACUCAGCCGACAGAAUCAUAAUCUGGGCAGUGGGAUUUAGAUAAUUAUGCCUUGAAAAAUCUCCAUGGGGGAUUUGGAUGCUCAGUCAGAGCUGAGAACCACUACUCUAGGCUAGAAGAGUAACAUCGGUCAGGCCAAGAGCAACAACAAAACACUGUGGAGUUAAUUCAGAAGAGAAAGUCUGGUGUCUUCCAGGCCUCUGUCCAGCCAGUUCACAACUAUUAUUAGCAGAGGAACUGCCUCCCUGAAAUAAUCAACUGUAAUAACCAUGUGUGAAAUUCCCGGAAAUAGUGCAGAGAUUAAAGUUUAUUUAAGAACCGUCA